UACAGAGGGUGCAAGCGUUGUUCGGAAUUAUUGGGCGUAAAGCGCACGUAGGCGGCCAUAUAAGUCGGGUGUGAAAGCCCUCGGCUCAACCGAGGAACUGCGCCCGAUACUGCAUGGCUUGAGGUCCGGAGGGGAGAGUGGAAUUCCCGGUGGAGCGGUGGAAAUGCGUAGAGAUCGGGAAGAACGCCGGCGGCGAAAGCGACUCUCUGGUCGGAAUCUGACGCUGAGGUGCGAAAGCUAGGGGAGCAAACGGGG
rnacentral:rRNA from 1 species